GUCUCCUUAGCUCAGUUGGUAGAGCAGAGGACUUUUAAUCCUUGGGUCCAGGGUUCGAGCCCUGAGGGGACA
rnacentral:tRNA from 2 species